ACUGUUAGCCUGCGUGCAGGCCCAAGGGAACUGAUAGUGGUAUCAGUUCCCUUGGGCCUGCACGCAGGCUACUGUACUGUUUAAGCC